CGUUGUUAUUAGGCGAUUUAUGUGAGAAUGGUGGUAGGCAAUGAUUAUUUGGAAGGAUAAACUGCAAAAAUGGUGAAUUGCUGUGUGGUUUGCAAAAAAAUCGGCAGUAAAGGCAGUGGGAAAUCCAUGCACUGAAUGCCUAGUGAUAGUGCUCGACAAAGAUUGUGGAUGGACCAGUUAAAACUGAAAAUUACAAAAUCUUCCAAAUGUUUGCUCUGACCAUUUCUAUGAAGAUUUCAUCCUUAUAUUAGAAACAAAAUGUUUGAAAACUGAAGCUAUUCCAUCCAGGAUUUCAUCGCCUGAUCCCAUUCAAGUAACACAUUAGCAGCUUCAGACAAAAGUCCUAUGACCCCCAGGACUCAUCAGAUGUUGGUACAGUUGGGGAGUCCUCAAAACCAAGUGGUUCUGAAUUAUCGAAAACUUCAGAUACAUAAUGAUUCCAAGCCUUAGAAGAAAAAUACAUUACAUAGUACAAGCAUCGAGAAUAGAUUUAUAUGCUAUUUCACUGGAAUAAGAAGGCAGCUGAAUAUGGAAUGAUGUGCUCCAUUGGCAGAUAAUGCCAACAAACUGUUGAGAAGAUAUUUUAGGAAUGUUACCUUUUUCUUGCAUAAGAUCAAGCUGUAGAUGAAAAGGUGCUGCAAAGUCAUUUAUUCUAUUUCAUAUUUGAAUACAACAAAAUAGUGGUAUACAAUUAUGAUUAUUUUAAGACAUGGAUUGUUAUUAUUAUUUUCUUUCAAAAUUGCAAUGAUUGCACCAGUCUGUUGAUACCCCUCAUCAAAGAAACUACAUGUAUUUCCCUCAUUUUCAAAUUUGAUAGUAUCUGUCCAUUGUCAUGUUGUCAAACUUUCAGAAUCCUAUUGUUUCGUUUAUAUAUUUUAUUUUCUAGAUCUAUAUGUACUAAAGAUGAUUGAUAAUUUUUAUCUUGUAAUAGUGUGGUACUCACCACAUAUUCAAUUGUGCAAUAUAGUUGAAAACAAAAUAAUACUUGAUUCAAGUUCAGCAAUGAAUUUAGUAAUUUUCAACGAAAUGAAAGAAUUAUGCUUUCUAAUUAGUCCGUCUUAUUAUUAAUGUUGCAUAUAAAUGUUGAGCUACAUGAUUAUUGUUUUUAUAAAGGAAUUUUUUGUCAGUAUUAAGUUUUCAAUCAUUUAAUAGGAUAUUCAAUCACUUAAAUUCUAAGUAAAAUUUUGAUAAAGAUGCAUUAACUAUUUUGAGAAUUGUCUGACUCUUAGUAAAUUUCGUUACCUCCUUAUUGACCUAUUAAUUAAUGUCAUUGAACUGUAAUGUUUUUCUGGGUGGAGUUGUAUUAUUAUUAAAAAUUG